AUUAACUGACGAGUCCCAAAUAGAACGAAACGCGCGUCCUGGAU
rnacentral:hammerhead_ribozyme from 1 species